rnacentral:rRNA from 1 species
GACGAACGCUGGCGGCGUGCUUAACACAUGCAAGUCGAACGGAAAGGCCUGCUUUCCCUUGUGGAUUGCGGGUACUCGAGUGGCGAACGGGUGAGUAACACGUGAGUGAUCUGCCCCCAACUUGGGUAUAAGCCUGGGAAACUGGGUCUAAUUCCCGAUAGGACGGCAGGGUGGUGCCUGUGGUGGAAAACGAUUUUCUAGUGGUUGGGGAUGAGCUCUCGGCCUAUCUGCGUGUUGGUGGGGUAAUGGCCUACCAAGGCGGGGACGGGUAGCCGGCCUGAGAGGAUGGACGGCCGAAUUGGGACUGGGCUACGGCCCAGACUGCUGCGGGAGGAAGCAGUGGGGAGUAAUGGACAGUAGGCGGAAGCCUGAUGCAGCGAGGCGGCGUGGAGGAUGACGGCCUUCGAGUUGUAAUCUGCUGUGGACCGAGAGGAAGCCACCUGGUUGGCAGGGUGGUGACGGUAGUGGAAGAAGAAGCACCGGCUAACUACGUG